CUUCCAGCUAAAUUACCAGGUCUGGCUCAGACCUCAGCCAUCAUAUAAAGGCGCCCUGGCACGGUGGCUCCCAGUCCCUGGUGGAUAACCCUGCAAUGAGGCUCCUCCUGGCGCUGCUGCUUCUGGCUGCCCUGUGUGCUGCCCUGGCCCAGGCCCUGCACUGCCACGUGUGCUGCGGCCACGAGCACUGCGAGUCUCUGGUGGAGUGCGCCCCGACUGACAAGUACUGUGUGAUCACACGGGCCACCAGCCCCGGCGGCAUCCUGGUCAUGAAGUCCUGCUCCCCGACGUGCCCCAACAGCACCGUGUCCUCCGAUGGCCGCGCCCUCUCGGUGUCCUGCUGCCAGGGCAGCCAGUGCAACCGAAGCUCAGCCUCAGGCCUGGGGGGCAGCCCCGGGGCCCUGUGGACCAGCACCGCAGCCAGCCUGCUGUGGGCCCUGCUCCGGGUGCCCUGCUGAGGCCCUGGCCUGGAGUUCUCCACAUGGCCCCUGCAGCCUUGCCAGCUCCCACACACCCCACCCGAGGCAGCAGGGUCCCCGUCUCAUCGGCCACGCCCUUCCCUCCCUUGCCCAGGCCACACCUAGCCCUUCCCUGGCCCUGGGGAGAGAUAAAGGAUCCCUCCCCCAUGGGCUCUGGCCCUGGUGAGGGAGCUCCACCCCUGCCUCAGGGAAUCGCUGGUGGGUGCCCCAAAGGAGAUGCCCGCUCCAAGACCCACACCUGCAGGAGCCCCUCGGCCCUUUGCUGGGGUCCUGGGAACCCUGGCCAGCCACAAGUGGGAAGAGCCUCCCAGUUCUCUCCAACACCGUCUAUAACAAUUUCAGAGGCUAGGGGCUGAGGGGCUGGAGCUG
rnacentral:lncRNA from 1 species